rnacentral:rRNA from 1 species
AGUGAACGCUGGCGGUAUGCCUAACACAUGCAAGUCGAACGGCAGCACAGUAAGAGCUUGCUCUUACGGGUGGCGAGUGGCGGACGGGUGAGGAAUACAUCGGAAUCUACUUUUUCGUGGGGGAUAACGUAGGGAAACUUACGCUAAUACCGCAUACGACCUACGGGUGAAAGCAGGGGAUCUUCGGACCUUGCGCGAUUGAAUGAGCCGAUGUCGGAUUAGCUAGUUGGCGGGGUAAAGGCCCACCAAGGCGACGAUCCGUAGCUGGUCUGAGAGGAUGAUCAGCCACACUGGAACUGAGACACGGUCCAGACUCCUACGGGAGGCAGCAGUGGGGAAUAUUGGACAAUGGGCGCAAGCCUGAUCCAGCAAUACCGCGUGGGUGAAGAAGGCCUUCGGGUUGUAAAGCCCUUUUGUUGGGAAAGAAAAGCAGCAGGUUAAUACCCCGCUGUUCUGACGGUACCCAAAGAAUAAGCACCGGCUAACUUCGUG